GAUGAACGCUGGCGGCGUGCUUAACACAUGCAAGUCGAACGAUGAAGCCCAGCUUGCUGGGUGGAUUAGUGGCGAACGGGUGAGUAACACGUGAGUAACCUGCCCUUAACUCUGGGAUAAGCCUGGGAAACUGGGUCUAAUACCGGAUAGGAGCGUCCACCGCAUGGUGGGUGUUGGAAAGAUUUAUCGGUUUUGGAUGGACUCGCGGCCUAUCAGCUUGUUGGUGAGGUAAUGGCUCACCAAGGCGACGACGGGUAGCCGGCCUGAGAGGGUGACCGGCCACACUGGGACUGAGACACGGCCCAGACUCCUACGGGAGGCAGCAGUGGGGGAUAUUGCACAAUGGGCGCAAGCCUGAUGCAGCGACGCCGCGUGAGGAAUGACGGCCUUCGGGUUGUGAACCUCUUUCAGUAGGGAAGAAGCGAAAGUGACGGUACCUGCAGAAGAAGCACCGGCUAACUACGUG
rnacentral:rRNA from 1 species